rfam:Arcobacter sp. LPB0137, complete genome.
GGGGAUGAUUUGGCUUCGAUUAGAGCAUUGAAGUCUAGUUGCAUGUCGGCCUGAACACGCCGUUAUACGGUUCAUUUUUUUUAAACGCAAAUAAUACUAAUUAUUCUCCAGCUUACGCAGCAGCGUAAGUUUUAAUUUAGACUCCCCUUAAGUGGGUCGAGACUAGGAGGCUCAUUCUACUGAUGCUAUAUAGGUAGAUUUAAAUGGGCUCACCCUAAUAGCUUAUCUUUAAAGAGUUGAUUUAACUUUAAAGAGACAUUCCUAAUCUUAUCUUUCAUAAGCCUUGCAGGUUGAGCUUAUGAUAAGUGAAAUUGAUCGACCUCUUCUAAACAUGUAGACGCUAUGCGGAUAUGUUUUAAGACUCCGGUUCAAUCCCGGACAUCUCCACCA